rnacentral:rRNA from 1 species
AACGCUGGCGGCGUGGAUAAGACAUGCAAGUCGAGCGCUGAUUCCGGGGUAGCAAUAUUCCGGAGUUGGAGCGGCGCAAGGGUGCGUAACACGUGGGUAAUCUGCCGCGAAGUUUGGGAUAACUUGCUGAAAGGCGAGCUAAUACCGAAUGUGGCCUUUGGGAGACAUCUCCUGACGGCUGAAGUUGGGGACCGCAAGGCCUGACGCUUCACGAUGAACCCGCGGCCUAUCAGCUAGUUGGUGAGGUAACGGCCCACCAAGGCUAAGACGGGUAGCUGGUCUGAGAGGACGACCAGCCACACUGGAACUGAGACACGGUCCAGACACCUACGGGUGGCAGCAGUCGAGAAUUUUUCACAAUGGGCGCAAGCCUGAUGGAGCGACGCCGCGUGGGGGAUGAAUGGCUUCGGCCCGUAAACCCCUGUCAUUCGCGAUCAAACCUUGUUAUUUAAAAGAUGACGAGCUGAUAGUAGCGGAAGAGGAAGGGACGGCUAACUCUGUGCCAGCAGCCGCGGUAAUACAGAGGUCCCGAGCGUUGUUCGGAUUCACUGGGCGUAAAGGGUGCGUAGGUGGUGAGGUAAGUCGGAUGUGAAAUCUCGGAGCUUAACUCCGAAACUGCAUUGGAAACUACCCUGCUUGAGGAUUGGAGGGGGGACUGGAAUUCUCGGUGUAGCAGUGAAAUGCGUAGAUAUCGAGAGGAACACCAGUGGCGAAGGCGAGUCCCUGGACAACUCCUGACACUGAGGCACGAAAGCUAGGGGAGCAAACAGGAUUAGAUACCCUGUAGUCCUAGCCGUAAACGGUGCACGUUUGCUGUAAAAGGAAUCAACCCCUUUUGUGGCGGAGCCAACGCGUUAAACGUGCCGCCUGG